UUCCUGUUGACCAUCCUUUUCGCACACUGCCAUCCAUUGAUCGCUACUAAUCUCAGACUCGCCAGACAUACCAGAAUUUUCUUUUGCUAAUGCUUCUUAUUGUUGCUACACGAAUUUCAUAUCUUUAACAAAUCACCAAACCGCAAUGCACUUUCUUCGGGGCAUUACUAUCAGAGUUUGGCUUUGACGCCUACAGUAGCCAAGGGGCUCCCAAUAAACUCACAAUUUUCCUCAUACAUAGUUACACUGCCUUGAGGUCCAAAAAGUCCAGAGGUAUCGACCAUACUCGGCACAACAUCGGCCAUCGUAGGAGCGCCCAACAGUCUCAUGUUCAUCUCGAAUUCAUCCUGUGUUUUGAAGGGGGGAUCAUUAUCCAGCCUUUCCGUUCAGCCAUUGACAUGGCAUAGAUCAUCGGUCUCCCAAUACCCACAGCUGUCGCACCAAGUGCAACGGCUUUCAAGACGUCUGUUGCUCUUCGAACACCACCGUCAACAAAAAUUUCAAACCUAGGCCGAAGGGGAUUGUUCAUGAACCCGUGCGCAGUGAGGUGCUGUACGACCGAAGGAAGAAGGGCCAAGGGGGAAGGGGCAAAGUCAAGCUGACGUCCUCUUAGGCCAUCUGCAUCAGCAACAUCCGGAAAGUAAAAACGACCGUACUAACCCAUGAUUACUUAGUACCACGCCAUCCACUCCUGCCUCAGCCGCCAUGACCGCAUCCUCCCAGCAUUGCACGCCCUUCAAAAUGACUUUGAGGCCUCGCGCCGCAUCGACCAACUCCUUCAAGUCGCUCCAAUUGAGACUCGGGUCGAUGAAGGAAGAGAUGGCGCGUGCUGCACCUUGAUCUCGUUGAUAUUUGUCACCGCCUUUCGUCUGUUGAGCAGAGGCUGCACCUUCAAAUUUGGUGCGCAUGUCCUAAGAAGAGGUUACAUGGAGUUUGGAAUUCGUUGGCGGAGACUCACUUUCUCUCGGCGACCGAGCUGGGUACGCUCACGAUCGGCGUUGACGUAGCUAGGGAUAUCAGUAUAGAUUUGGUGGUUAUUAGAAGCAUCCACCAUCUCGUCAAACCCGCAAGAUGCAAGAGUAGGGAUCUUGUCCUAAGUUAGGGGUUGUAUGCACUAUAUGUGGCUGGCUGACUCACCAUUUGUAUGAUAUUGUGUU
rnacentral:sRNA from 1 species